UACAAGUUAAAUUUCAUUACUGUCAUUAUUGUGUCCAUCCAUGAUAACCUUUCGAGUGAGAUGAAACUUUGAGUAUUGCCAUUUCCUAGAAGGCACGAGAAUUUUAUUCACACUCCUCUUUUCACGCAGUCUCAAUGUAUCUUCGAGGAAAUACGUCUCCGGAACAGCUCGAAUUACAUUCUUUUAAAUCAUACAAGCUGUGUCAACGUUAUGUCAAUGUACUUACCUCAGGGAAUUUAUGUGACAAUAAUAUCUACACAGUAAGAGUAGAUUAUUAUACGUAGGUGUCGUGGUAAUAAAAUAUUUUUGAUCAGGUAUAUUGAGGAGCUAAGUCUAGACAUAAAGGAUGACAAAAGUAAUACAAAUUUUACACUGUUAAAAGAAUUGAAAUUAUUGAACUACUAAUAAGAUUUUAAAAUAAUGUCGUAGGGUUUACACUACUUGAGACUUUCAAAGUAAUUUAGUGUAAAACACUAAUAUCAUCAUGUCUACCUUACAUACGUAUACAUUACAUACGUAUACGUAGAGGAACUGCAGCAUAUUUGGGAUACUGCAGAUAACUUGGAAUACUUCGAUAUCUAAAUAAAUAAAAACGCCAUCUGUGUUUUUAUGCGCUAAACAUAAUGUCAUACGACACACAAAGCCAAAAAAUAUUAAAAACUAGACGCCAUCUUGACAUUCCGGCUACCAGCCUCAAGUGAACGAGACGUCUGCUUUGAAAACUUUUUCGGAGAACGCAUGCACAACGAAAAAAGUCAUAUAAUGAAAACAGAACACCGAAACAAAUGUUAAGGGAAAAGGUAAGAAGAAAAUAACAAAAAAGACAAGAAAAAAGUAAUAUGAUAGACAGGGUCUCAUCAGAUCGAAAUCCUGGGGCUACAUCUGGAAAUAACACACUCUUCAGACGAUAAAGUAACGAGAGAUGAAACUGCAAACGACCCUACUGACGUAGACGCAGAGCGAUUUUUCUUUAACGGAAAAUAUCACGAGGAUAAAAGGGGUGAAGAAUGGGUACACUGGUUAAUGUGCGAAUUAUGGGUUCAUGGUGCUUGCAGUGGCUAUGAAUCCGGUGAUAUGAUAUUUGUGAUUACUGCAACAAUAGUAAACUGUAAGUUCAAACUUAAUACUGAUCUGAGUGCUGUGUGGCUACGGCACAAAAAAAAGAAUAAAGCCACCCCCUUUCUUCCCGUGGGUGUCGUAAGAGGCGACUAAGGGAUAACAAAGUUCCACUACAACCUUGGAACUUAAGAAGCCGACCAAUAGCGGGAUAACCAUCUAACAUCUGGCUUUGAAACAACAGGCCGAAGACGGGCAGCAGCGUCUUAGGUGCGAAAAAGCCAGCCCUGCGGUCACCAACCCGCCUGCCCAGCGUGGUGACUAUGGGCAACACACAUGAGUUCACGCAUUUUUGGCGCGAACUUGUGGAGGCCUAUGUCCAGCAGUGGACUGCAAUAGACUGGAAUGAUGAUGACUGAUCUGAGAUUAGUGUGGCUGAUUACUUAAUAAUUAGAUGUUAUUUUAAGGUAGGUUGUUUAAAAAGAUUGAUCACCUGGAUAACUAAAGACUAUAAAACUGGUAAAAAGAUAAGGGAUCUCUUAGUUUCUAAGAAAAAGUAUUAGCAAUUAUCAUUGAAUAAAUGUGAAUAUAAUUUGGAAUACUAUAUUUCAAAUUAUCUGCACCCUAAGUCAAAUCUCGCUGUCGGAGUUUUUUUAGUUUGAUAGGCAUUUUGAUAAUGUUCCUGGUUUUUGUUAGAUUUGAUGUUUAUUAUUAUUAAAGUUAAAUAAUUUUUAAAUAAUUUAAUGUGUUUUUUAUUGAGCCAUCCCGUUCCUCUUUAAAUUUAUUCUCAAAAAACAAACUAGUAUUCCAAAUAUGCUGCAGUUCCUCUAUAUAUAUA
rnacentral:misc_RNA from 1 species